rnacentral:lncRNA from 1 species
GUUAGGGUCCCGAACCUGAGAUCGAGUUAGGGGUCUUUCGUGGAGGAAAGUGGAAGGUGUUCGUGAGGGUGAGGACGUGGUGUUCUUUUUGCGACCUAUCUUGAGAAAUUAGAAGACUCAAUUAGAGGGAAUCUCAAACCUCUGAGUUAAAGUACUCAAAACUGUAAUGAUUUCCAAGUUGAUCUCUUCAUUGAUAAUUAUUGAAUAUUUAUACAGGAUGUAAACCACCCUUUGCUACAUCAAUGGAAUCAUGACUUGAUCAUGGAGUCACAACCUCCUAAGAUAAUGGGAGUAACUACCUCCUAAGAUAAUGGUAAUAACUACCUCCUAAGAUAAUGGAAAUAACUACCUCCUAAGAUAAUGGUAAUAACUACCUCUUAAGAUAAUGGAAAUAACUACCUCCUAAGAUAAUGGAAAUGAUUGAAAGUGGAGAUACCCUCCUUACAUUGUGGAAACACUAACAAAUGCUUAAAGAAAAAUGCAACAACUAAAAAUAGAAACUAAACUGGUCAACCUUCAAUCCUUACUGCUUUCCCAUCUUCAGUAGGCUGUACACGUGGCUGUUUCUUCUGACUGUGAGUGUAACGUGUAUACACUUGUAAUGGCUUUGUAUCAAUACUUCCCGUCCCCUUAGGAAGCUUGUCCUCAAGCUUAAAAUGCGGAUAACGAUCCUGUAUAUCUUGAACAUUUUCCCAAGAGGCAUCAGUUUACUCACCCAGUGUUGUUGAGGGAAGGAAAGUGAGCGUUGCUCUAGUAAAAAUUUCAAGGUGUAGUGGUCAAUUCGCACCAGAAACUUUUUGCCCCAAAGAUAUGAUUGCCAGUGUUUAAUUGCUUUGACCAAGCCAAUCAGCUCCCUUUCAUAUGCCGGAAGACUAACAUGUCGGCCCGCCAUUGCUCGGCUAAAGAAGGCCACUAGUUUAUUUUCUUGUAGUAGCACAGCUCCAAUACCUGUGUCAGCACACUCAAGAACAAACAGUAGCUCGAAAUUCGGAAGAACUAAUAUGGGUGUGGUAGUCAGGGCCGUCUUCAAAGUUUCAAAUGCCUGAAUUGCUUCGUCAGUCCAUUGAAAAGAGUUUUUUCGUAACAAGGCAGUGAGAGGAGCAGCUAUAGUACCAUAGUUGAAUACAAACUUCCGGUAAUAGCCAGUAAGUCCAAGGAAACCCCGCAACCCCCGGAGAGUAACACGUCUAGGCCAUUCUGUGAUAGCUGCGAUUUUGGAAUUAUCCACCUGCACCCCCUUCUGUGAGAUUACAUGAAACAAGUAUGAAACCUGAGUUUGGGCAAAGGUGCACUUGGAGCGUUUCAAGAAUAAUUUAUUUUUUUCCAAGAUGUGGAAUACUUGACGAAGGUGCUGCAUAUGUUCUUCCCAAGAUUUACUGAAAACAAGGAUGUCAUAAAAAAAAACCAAUACGAAUUUACGGAGGUGUUCCUGGAAUACCUCAUUCAUUAAAGCUUGAAAAGUGGAUGGUGCGUUGGACAAUCCAAACGGCAUGACCAGAAAUUCGAAAUGACCGUGGUGAGUUCAAAAGGCUGUUUUUUCAAUGUCUGGUGGAUACAUGCCGAUCUGAAAAUAUCCAGAAAGCAAGUCUAAUUUGGUGAAGAACUUUGCCCCUCCCAAUUCGUCCAGAAGCUCAUCAAUAACAGGAAUUGGGAAUUUGUCUUUGAUGGUUUUGGCAUUGAGUUCCCUGUAAUCCACACACAAGCGCCAUGAUUUAUCAGCUUUGGGAACUAGAAUUACCGGAGAUGAAAAAGGAGAUCUGCUCGGGCGGAUGAUUCCUUGUUUGAGCAUAGCAGUACACUGGCGUUCAAUUUCAUCUUUUUGCCCAUGGGGAUAUCUGUAGGGGUGUACCACCACUGGUUUAGUGUUUGGUUCCAAAGGAAUACGGUGGUCACAGGAACGGGCGGGAGGUAGCCCUGUUGGUGGAUUAAAAAGAGAGGCAUAUUCAAAUAGUAAUUUUUGAAGUUGGGUAUCUGGGUCGGUAGCCGGUAAUAGAGAAUGAAGAUUAGGCUGCGUCCCUGAUCUAGAAUUUAUGCCGUAGAGUUCCACCUGUUUCCCUUGGACGAAGAAAGACAUCCACAUAAUGUUAAAGUCCCAUAGGAUGGGGCCCAGCGUUGUCAACCAAUUAACGCCAAGGACAAUGUCAAAGCCAGUCAAUUGCAAGACAAAUAAUUCCACCAUAAAAGUGGUAAAUCCCAAUUCGAUCGGUGCCCCCUUGCAAAUUCCAGGACUGCGGAGCUGUUUGCCAUUGGCGACAUUAACACGUAACCCAUCUUUCUCAUCCACUUCUGCCUGUAAUUCAUCAACUUUGGAAACAGAGACAAAGUUGUGAGUGCUUCCUGAAUCAACAAGGAUUAAUACCUGGGUUCCUUUCCAACGCCCCAGCAAACGCAUGGACUGUGGAUUGCGUGUUCCAGUAAUUGCGUGGAGAGAAAUUUCAGGUGGUAGAUCUGAGUCGGCGUCUUCCUCUGAAUUUGUUCCGUCUUCUAGAUCAAUCCAAAACAACCGUUUACAGUGAUGGCCACGCACAAACGGUUCAUCACAAUUAAAACACAACCCCUUUUUUCUCCUUUCAUCCAUUUCGUCUCUAGUGAGCCUUUUAAUUGUGCGGUUGUUGCGUGAAUCCGGAAGUGGAGAAUUGCGUUUGAUAUCUCGAGUGGUGGAGCUCCUGGUGUAAAGCUUCCGUUCAUACAAGCGAGACAUGCUCAUUGCUGUGACAAGAUCCUGUGGUUGGUGCAGCUCGACUUCAACAGAUAUGGAUUCCUGCAAGCCACUGAGAUACAAAUACAACUGAACCUUUUGGUUCUGAGUUAAGGUGCUAGCUCUGGAAACCAAAACUUCAAAUUUGUUUUGAUACUCCUCCACUGUGCCCGUUUGUUUUAAUUUGGCAAGUUCUCCCAGUUUGUUGCUUCGGAUAGGGGGUCCAAACCGCAAAUUGCAUUGGUUGACAAAUUCAGACCAUGUAGGAUUGGGAAUAUCUUGAAUCAUCUGUAAGUACCAUAGCUGUGCAAUUCCCUCUAGGUGGUAAGAAGCUAAACUCACCUUUUCCUCUUCAGGAGUGGAUUGGUGCCGGAAAAAGUGUUGACAACGGCUAAUCCAUCCCAAAGGAUCUUCCUGGCCAUUAAAGCGAGGGAAGUCAAGUUUCGUGAAUUUGGGCACAAUGACGUUGCCUCUCGAAGCUUCAGAGACUGUUGCUCCAAUAGGUCCUUUUUCGCGCCGAGUUUGAGCUUGACUUUCUGCACCUGGAGAAGAAGAUAGUCCCUUUCCGGCAGAUUCCAAUUCGAGAGACAUAGCCUCCAUUUUGGCGUGAAGCUGCUCAACCUUUUCAUGGCGGGCCUGAUUAGCUUGCUGUUCAGAAAGGACAAGGUUGAAAAGUUUUGUAAGUUGAUCUUGAACGGAUUCCCCCAUAACUGUUGGCUCUGAUACCAAAAUGUUAGGGUCCCGAACCUGAGAUCGAGUUAAGGGUCUUUCAUGGAGGGAAGUGGAAGGUGUUCGUGAGGGUGAGGACGUGGUGUUCUUUUUGCGACCUAUCUUGAGAAAUUAGAAGACUCAAUUAGAGGGAAUCUCAAACCUCUGAGUUAAAGUACUCAAAACUGUAAUGAUUUCCAAGUUGAUCUCUUCAUUGAUAAUUAUUGAAUAUUUAUACAGGAUGUAAACCACCCUUUGCUACAUCAAUGGAAUCAUGACUUGAUCAUGGAGUCACAACCUCCUAAGAUAAUGGGAGUAACUACCUCCUAAGAUAAUGGUAAUAACUACCUCCUAAGAUAAUGGAAAUAACUACCUCCUAAGAUAAUGGUAAUAACUACCUCCUAAGAUAAUGGAAAUAACUACCUCCUAAGAUAAUGGAAAUGAUUGAAAGUGGAGAUACCCUCCUUACAUUGUGGAAACACUAACAAAUGCUUAAAGAAAAAUGCAACAACUAAAAAUAGAAACUAAACUGGUCAACCUUCAAUCCUUACUGCUUCCCCAUCUUCAGUAGGCUGUACACGAGGCUGUUUCUUCUGACUGUGAGUGUAACGUGUAUACACUUGUAAUGGCUUUGUAU